rnacentral:rRNA from 1 species
UACGUAGGGUGCGAGCGUUGUCCGGAAUUACUGGGCGUAAAGCGUGCGUAGGCGGUUUGUUAAGUCUGCUGUGAAAUCCCCGGGCUCAACCUGGGAAUGGCAGUGGAUACUGGCAAGCUAGAGUGUGUCAGAGGAUGGUGGAAUUCCCGGUGUAGCGGUGAAAUGCGUAGAGAUCGGGAGGAACAUCAGUGGCGAAGGCGGCCAUCUGGGACAACACUGACGCUGAGGCACGAAAGCGUGGGGAGCAAACAGG